GGUGGGGGGUAUUGAUUUGUACCAUUUUAAAACACAUAUCGGAAGAGGGUAUUCAAACCUCGGGCCAUACCAUACACUCUCUGUAGACUACAUAAGUUCAACGCCUUAUGAAAAGAAUGAUAGACAAACACAUCCAACCGCAGUCCAUCACACACUAUCUUUCAAAAAGAAAAUGGGCCAGUGGGUUAAUCUGACCUGAAUACAAAUUAUGGCGACACAGGAUUUUUACGAAGCUGUUAUAUUUCUUUACUCUCGGGUGCAUGUUUUUCUACAUUUGACAUUGGCUCUUUUCUCACAACCAUUGUUAAUGUUUUAUACUUCUGUAACAGAUGAAAAGAUGUAAUAAUGAGUCUCUU